GCACAUUAGUAGCCGAGGUGGUUAGUGCCUUUGGUUUCUAUCCGAGGGGUUCUGGGUUCAAAUCCCAGGCA
rnacentral:tRNA from 1 species